rnacentral:RNase_P_RNA from 2 species
GCGGAAGGCUGGAUGGCCGCGGGGGUCGCAAGACCCGCGAGGAAAGUCCGGACUCCCUGAGACAACGGUGCCGGGUAACGCCCGGGCGGGGUAACCCGACGGAGAGCGCCACAGAAAACAAACUGCCCCUGCCUGCAGGGGUCAAGGUGAAACGGUGGGGUAAGAGCCCACCGGGGGGCUGGCAACAGCGCCCGCAAGGCAAGCCCCACCGGGAGCAAUGCCAAAUAGGGGCCUCGCGCGCGACUGAUCCUUUCGGGGAUAUCGACGCAGGGAUGUUUCAGCCCGAGAGGUCCGGGUUGGCAGCUAGAGGCGCAUGGGCAAUCAUGCGUCAAGAGGAAUGGUCAUCCACGGCGUUCGCGCCGAGACAGAAUCCGGCUUACAGGCCUUCCGCGCAA